rnacentral:rRNA from 1 species
GAAACAGUUGCUAAGACUGGAUAGGAAAUUAAAAGGCAUCUUUUAAUUUUUAAAAGACCUUUUUCGGAAGGUAUGCUUAAAGAGGGGCUUGCGCCACAUUAGUUAGUUGGUAAGGUAAAGGCUUACCAAGACGAUGAUGUGUAGCUGGACUGAGAGGUUGAACAGCCACAUUGGGACUGAGACACGGCCCAAACUCCUACGGGAGGCAGCAGUAAGGAAUUUUUGGCAAUGGAGGAAACUCUGACCGAGCGACGCCGCGUGAACAAUGAAGUACUUCGGUAUGUAAAGUUCUUUUAUUGAAAAAGAAAAAAUAGUGGAAAAACUAUCUUGACAUUAUUCAAUGAAUAAGCCCCGGCUAAUUAUGUGCCAGCAGCCGCGGUAAUACAUAAGGGGCGAGCGUUAUCCGGAAUUAUUGGGCGUAAAGGGUGCGUAGGCGGUUUGAUAAGUCUAUAGUUUAAUUGCAGUGCUUAACGCUGUACCGCUAUAGAAACUGUCUGACUAGAGUUAGAUAGAGGCAAGCGGAAUUCCAUGUGUAGCGGUAAAAUGCGUAAAUAUAUGGAGGAACACCAGAGGCGUAGGCGGCUUGCUGGGUCUUAACUGACGCUGAGGCACGAAAGCGUGGGGAGCAAACAGGAUUAGAUACCCUGGUAGUCCACGCCGUAAACGAUGAGUACUAAGUGUCGGGUUUUGGCUCGGUACUGAAGUUAACACAUUAAGUACUCCGCCUGAGUAGUACGUACGCAAGUAUGAAACUUAAAGGAAUUGACGGGACCCCGCACAAGCGGUGGAUCAUGUUGUUUAAUUCGAAGAUACACGAAAAACCUUACCAGGUCUUGACAUAAUUUUGCGACAUUAUAGAAAUAUAAUGAAGGUUAUCAGAAUUACAGGUGGUGCAUGGUUGUCGUCAGCUCGUGUCGUGAGAUGUUAGGUUAAGUCCUAAAACGAGCGCAACCCUUGUCGUUAGUUGCGACCACAUAAUGGUGAGCACUUUAGCGAGACUGCCAAUGAAAAAUUGGAGGAAGGUGAGGAUUACGUCAAAUCAUCAUGCCCCUUAUGAUCUGGGCUACAAACGUGAUACAAUGGCUUUUACAAAGAGUAGCUACAACGUGAGUUUUUAGCCAAUCUCAAAAAAACAGUCUCAGUUCGGAGUGAAGUCUGCAACUCGACUUCAUGAAGUUGGAAUCGCUAGUAAUCGCGAAUCAGCAUGUCGCGGUGAAUACGUUCUCGGGGUUUGUACACACCGCCCGUCA